UGGAGGUCUAGGAGCUAUUCCAUCUGCUUCUGAAGUUACAAAGAGAAAUAUCUUAGUUUCAGAGGAGAGGCUUGGAAGUAGCAGCAUGGGACAGCCUUUGGUAUCCCCACUGGCUAACAGAAUGAUGAUGUCACAAGCAGCUAAGGCUACAGAUGGAAUUGGUGUUGCUGAUGGGGCAAAUCUCGGUGAUGCUACGGUCAUGACUGGUAGAGUAUUCUCUCCUUCUGUUGGUCCUGGUAUGCAGUGGAGGCCUGGUAGUUCCUUUCAGAAUCAAAAUGAAGCGGGACAAUUCCGUGGAAGAACUGAAAUUGCACCUGACCAGAGGGAGAAGUUUUUGCAAAAAUUUCAGCAAGUACAGCAAGGUCAGGGUAAUCUUCUUGGCGUACCUCCAUUUAGUGGUGGAAACCUUAAGCAGUUCUCGUCCCAGCAACAGAAUCCACUUUUGCCACAGUUCAAUUCUCAAAGCUCCUCUGUCACUCCUCAACUUGGACUUGGAGUUGGGGCCCAAGCUGUUGGUAUUAACAACAUUGCCUCAUCUGCAUCUUUGCAGCAACAACCAGAUGUAGGCCACUCAAAAGCUGAAGACUUGCAGCAACAACAGAUUUUGCCUGAGGAUUCUUCUGCCGAUCCUUCUGUGAAUGCUGGGCUCGGGAAAAAUCUUUUGAAUGAGGAUGAUAUGAAGGCUUCAUAUGGAUUAGAUACCCCAAUGCAGGGAGGGGUCGCUGAAGCAUCCCCUAGGCCUAGGGAUACAGAUCUAUCUCCUGGGCAACCUUUGCAAUCCAGUCAGUCAUCUGGAAGUCUUGGAGUUAUUGGUCGAAGGAGUGUUGCUGACCUCGGAGCAAUUGGUGAUAGCCUGAGUGUGACCUCUGCAAAUUCUUCAGGAAUGCAUGACCAGAUAUACAACUUGCAGAUGCUUGAAUCUGCCUUUCACAAACUUCCUCUGGCCAAAGAUUCUGAACGAGCAAAGAGCUACACACCGAGGCACCCUGCAGUUACCCCUUCAAGCUAUCCCCAAGUACAGGCUCCCAUUGUCAACAAUCCUGGCUUCUGGGAAAGACUUGGAGCUGAUAACUAUGGCACAGACACUCUGUUCUUUGCAUUUUACUACCAACAGAAUACUUAUCAGCAGUACCUGGCUGCGAAGGAGUUGAAGAAACAGUCUUGGAGGUAUCACAGAAAGUAUAACACAUGGUUUCAGCGGCAUGAGGAGCCAACUGUUGCCACUGAUGACUUUGAACAGGGAACAUAUGUCUACUUUGAUUUCCACAUAGCCAAUGAUGAACAACAUGGAUGGUGCCAGAGGAUCAAGCAGGAGUUCACAUUUGAGUACAAUUUUCUUGAAGAUGAGCUCAUUGUAUAGAAUUUGUUUAUACCUGUAACAUUUAUUUUUCUAUCUGCCCUAUUUUCUUUUGGCUGUCUAAAUUACAUGGUUUGUACGGUAGUUUAUAUGUUUCGAAGGCGUGUCUAGUUUGAUGCUUUAGACGCCUUCAUUUAAAAAAACCGAGCAGAGAUCAGGAUUCAAAUUUCAUACAUACCUCUCUACAUGCUG
rnacentral:misc_RNA from 1 species